CACGUUGUUUUGUGAAGUUUUAAUACAUGUAUGCCCUGCUGACUGCAAAUUUUGAGGUCAAUUGGACUUGUAGUUUCAGAGUAUAUCAGAUAACAACCAUGUGAUAUUUUUUUUCAGAAGAGAUCUAUGUAAAUACAAUAUUAAAGAGAAAAAAAACCCGGAGUUGUCGUUCUUCUCCGUUGAAAGGAUAGAUAGCACACAGCUUCAUUCAGCAGUUGUAAGUGGAGGGUAAAAACAAAUAAAGGGGGGGGGGGGGGGGGGGGGGAGGUCUCAGGCGAUCAUUUUUUUUUGAAUAAGAAACGGUACAUACGAAUGGUUAAAAACGCCGUUUUUACAAUAUGAAUCAAUUGCUUAAAAAAAAGCAAUUCAGUGUAAACGGUCUUCCCCCCACCCUAAGAAACAUGAUUGGUUGAUUAAUGUGUGUGUGUGUGUUUGUUUGUUUCUUUCUUUCUGCAAGGGGUUCAUAUUAUUAUAUGACCCAUGCCAAGAAAUCCUCGCUAAAAUUCCGGUCGACCUCCUACGGCAGUCAUUAGUAGCUAAAGAUUUGAUUUCAUUCAAGAAAUUAAUUUAUGACCUUCAUGUACG
rnacentral:lncRNA from 1 species